UCUGACAGUGGAUAGGUUUUAAUGGGCUAUUGGCUGCUCCUGGUACCUAGUCCUUUCAUCACUUUGGGCUCUGCUCCUCUGACAGCAUUAGUUAUCAAGUUACCAAAAAGCUUUCUCUCAGGUCAUGGAAUAACAAAAGCUACUGGAAAAGAGAUGAAGACCUGGAAACUUACCAGUUACAUUUCAUCAAUAAUUAACAUGACAUCAUGGUAUGAAAUGAUAAUAAUUUUCAUUAUCCUUUUUGUGUUAUGAAAUUAACAUAUUCCAAAACAUGAGAGGUUAUUAAAUACUUUCAGUUGUUAAAUAGGA